GUUUGAUCAUGGCUCAGGAUGAACGCUGGCGGCGUGCUUAACACAUGCAAGUCGAACGAAGCACUUUAUUUGAUUUCCUUCGGGACUGAUUAUUUUGUGACUGAGUGGCGGACGGGUGAGUAACGCGUGGGUAACCUGCCUUGUACAGGGGGAUAACAGUUGGAAACGGCUGCUAAUACCGCAUAAGCGCACGGCAUCGCAUGAUGCAGUGUGAAAAACUCCGGUGGUAUAAGAUGGACCCGCGUUGGAUUAGCUAGUUGGUGAGGUAACGGCCCACCAAGGCGACGAUCCAUAGCCGACCUGAGAGGGUGACCGGCCACAUUGGGACUGAGACACGGCCCAAACUCCUACGGGAGGCAGCAGUGGGGAAUAUUGCACAAUGGGCGAAAGCCUGAUGCAGCGACGCCGCGUGAGCGAAGAAGUAUUUCGGUAUGUAAAGCUCUAUCAGCAGGGAAGAUAAUGACGGUACCUGACUAAGAAGCACCGGCUAAAUACGUGCCAGCAGCCGCGGUAAUACGUAUGGUGCAAGCGUUAUCCGGAUUUACUGGGUGUAAAGGGAGCGCAGGCGGUGCGGCAAGUCUGAUGUGAAAGCCCGGGGCUCAACCCUGGUACUGCAUUGGAAACUGUCGUACUAG
rnacentral:rRNA from 1 species